rnacentral:tRNA from 1 species
UAGAUAAGGGAAGGGGCGGAU